rnacentral:rRNA from 1 species
GACGAACGCUGGCGGCGUGCCUAAUACAUGCAAGUUGAGCGCUGAAGGUUGGUACCUGUACCAACUGGAUGAGCAGCGAACGGGUGAGUAACGCGUGGGGAAUCUGCCUUUGAGCGGGGGACAACAUUUGGAAACGAAUGCUAAUACCGCAUAAAAACUUUAAACACAAGUUUUAAGUUUGAAAGAUGCAAUUACAUCACUCAAAGAUGAUCCCGCGUUGUAUUAGCUAGUUGGUGAGGUAAAGGCUCACCAAGGCGAUGAUACAUAGCCGACCUGAGAGGGUGAUCGGCCACAUUGGGACUGAGACACGGCCCAAACUCCUACGGGAGGCAGCAGUAGGGAAUCUUCGGCAAUGGACGAAAGUCUGACCGAGCAACGCCGCGUGAGUGAAGAAGGUUUUCGGAUCGUAAAACUCUGUUGGUAGAGAAGAACGUUGGUGAGAGCGGAAAGCUCAUCAAGUGACGGUAACUACCCAGAAAGGGACGGCUAACUACGUG